rnacentral:rRNA from 1 species
GGCACUACGGUGCUGAAGCAACAAAUGCCCUGCUUCCAGGAAAAGCCUCUAAGCAUCAGGUAACAUCAAAUCGUACCCCAAACCGACACAGGUGGUCAGGUAGAGAAUACCAAGGCGCUUGAGAGAACUCGGGUGAAGGAACUAGGCAAAAUGGUGCCGUAACUUCGGGAGAAGGCACGCUGAUAUGUAGGUGAAGCGACUUGCUCGUGGAGCUGAAAUCAGUCGAAGAUACCAGCUGGCUGCAACUGUUUAUUAAAAACACAGCACUGUGCAAACACGAAAGUGGACGUAUACGGUGUGACGCCUGCCCGGUGCCGGAAGGUUAAUUGAUGGGGUCAGCGCAAGCGAAGCUCUUGAUCGAAGCCCCGGUAAACGGCGGCCGUAACUAUAACGGUCCUAAGGUAGCGAAAUUCCUUGUCGGGUAAGUUCCGACCUGCACGAAUGGCGUAAUGAUGGCCAGGCUGUCUCCACCCGAGACUCAGUGAAAUUGAACUCGCUGUGAAGAUGCAGUGUACCCGCGGCAAGACGGAAAGACCCCGUGAACCUUUACUAUAGCUUGACACUGAACAUUGAGCCUUGAUGUGUAGGAUAGGUGGGAGGCUUGGAAGUGUGGACGCCAGUCUGCAUGGAGCCGACCUUGAAAUACCACCCUUUAAUGUUUGAUGUUCUAACGUUGACCCGUAAUCCGGGUUGCGGACAGUGUCUGGUGGGUAGUUUGACUGGGGCGGUCUCCUCCUAAAGAGUAACGGAGGAGCACGAAGGUUGGCUAAUCCUGGUCGGACAUCAGGAGGUUAGUGCAAUGGCAUAAGCCAGCUUGACUGCGAGCGUGACGGCGCGAGCAGGUGCGAAAGCAGGUCAUAGUGAUCCGGUGGUUCUGAAUGGAAGGGCCAUCGCUCAACGGAUAAAAGGUACUCCGGGGAUAACAGGCUGAUACCGCCCAAGAGUUCAUAUCGACGGCGGUGUUUGGCACCUCGAUGUCGGCUCAUCACAUCCUGGGGCUGAAGUAGGUCCCAAGGGUAUGGCUGUUCGCCAUUUAAAGUGGUACGCGAGCUGGGUUUAGAACGUCGUGAGACAGUUCGGUCCCUAUCUGCCGUGGGCGCUGGAGAACUGAGGGGGGCUGCUCCUAGUACGAGAGGACCGGAGUGGACGCAUCACUGGUGUUCGGGUUGUCAUGCCAAUGGCACUGCCCGGUAGCUAAAUGCGGAAGAGAUAAGUGCUGAAAGCAUCUAAGCACGAAACUUGCCCCGAGAUGAGUUCUCCCUGACUCCUUGAGAGUCCUGAAGGAACGUUGAAGACGACGACGUUGAUAGGCCGGGUGUGUAAGCGCAGCGAUGCGUUGAGCUAACCGGUACUAAUGAACCGUGAGG